CGCCACCUCUUUGGUAUUGAUCUCUUCCAUCUGCCCUGAAUUACUUCCAUUGCUGACCUGCGAGCCGGUCACCGAAGUGUUGGGCUCCCGGGCUGUGCCCAGGAGCUGUCCGUGGCCCUGGGCAUUCAGGUCACUUGAGCCACAGUUCUGCUGAAACCACCUCUGUUGCCGCCAUUCCAUCCUGCCUCACUGCCCAGACUGUCUCACUGAACAUGGACCUCAGAAAUUAGACAAGAUCAGGUGUCAGCAAAGCUCCAGAGAUCCUCCUAUCUCCAUCUUUUAAGCUUUAAGAUUACAGAUGCUGUGAUCCACUAGACAUGGAUACUGGGAACUGAACUCAGGUCAUCUAGAAGAGGAGCCAGAGCUCUUAACCUCUGAGCAGUUGAUCCAGCCCCAGGACGUUCCUUCUUGUCAUCACUCCAGAGGUUUAUUAAGGAGACAGCAUAUGUGAAUUGCUAUGCAGCAGAAAUUUAUAUACAAGGAUGGAUUCUUCAGAACAUUUCUACAAUUUCCUUCAAGGAGUGAAAAAGUGAAUUAAGAAGCAAAAACUUAAAGUCUGAAUUAGUAUAGCAGCCCAGUUUUCUCUCCUGACAUUUCAGAUGUUUUACUUUUCUAAGACUAUAUAAUGUGUUAUAUGCAUGCACAUGUGUGCUGUCAAUCUGUGUUUGUGUGUGUGUUGUGCUAUGAAUGUUAAUGUGCAUAUAUUCGAGUGUGUGUUUGUAUAAUGUGUGUAUAUUAAGGUAUGUUGAUGUUCUUGAAUGUUAAUGACAUUUCUUCCCUUUUGUCUUUUGAAUUUGUAUUUAGUUUAUGACAUAUGGUAGUAUUUCAUUUUCAAAUUUAGCAUGUCCAAUUCUAUCAAUACUUUUUUGUGCUUUUAAAUAUUUAUUGUGUGUGAGUGCAUGUGUGUGUGUGUGCAUGCGUGUGUGCAUUCAGGCAUAUGGGCAUGUGCCUAUCUGUGUUCCAUGGCUGUCGAGUAGAGGUCAGAGUCAGUUCUCUCCUUUUAACCUGGGGGUCAUGGGGAUUAAAUGCAGGCUGUCGGGUUUGGUGGCAAGUGCCCUUACCAUCUGAGCCAUUUCAGUGGCCCUCUGGUAUUUUUAUCUAUCUGUAUGUCUGUCUGUCUAUCUAUCUAUCUAUCUAUCUAUCUAUCUAUCUAUCUAUUUGAUGCUUAGAAAUUCCUGAAAGCAAUUUUUAAAAAGAGUCCACAUUUAUGCUUUAUUCUUAUUUGUAAAAUAAACACUUUAAUCCAUCUAGAAGUCAUUUUAUCAUAGUGUAUGUGGUACUAAACAACCUAAUAUUUUUAUGUUUAUGAAUGCCUUUAUUACUUAUUGCAUAAAUUAAAAUAUAUCUUCUUAUGAAACAAUUACUUUUCCUAAGCCAAACACAAACUACAGAAAAAAACCCAUUUCUUUCCUAGCUGCUGCAGGCCAGAUGAGAUGGUGUGAGUUACUGGCCCUUCACCCUGGGGGAGUCUCAGAUCAUGGGCUGCUGCUGUAGUGCAGAGCUGGCCCAUUUCUUUCUUAAGAAAGAGGCAUUUUAUGUGGAUGCACUCACGGUCCUUAGGAAAGUCAGAGAGGCAACAAUCUUCUGUUGAUUGAAUUUUAACUUAAUUUAAUUUAAUUUCCUUGGCAAUCCCAGAUGGUGUCGUCCCAUUGCUAGAGGCUAAAAAGGGGCACUCUGCAAACGGAGGGAAAACAUACUGACUUACAACCAGAAACACAAGGCGUGGAAACAAAUGCUGUUUAUCAACAUGAGUCGAAGUGUGAGUUCUCUGAGAACCGUGUAGUUGUAGACAGGGCUCCGAAGGCUUUGUUCAAGUUUAGGCAAGUAAUGUCAUUCCCAAGGGCUAUCCCUGGGGUUAGGAUCUAGAAGGAAGAGUUCAAAAAACAUGAAAUGUACACCGUUCAGGAAAAACACCCAGAAUUUUCAUGAAUGAGAAAAAUCAAUACUAUUUAAAUCCUGGCUAAUUAGAAAUAGCAGAAAUGUUAGGGAAGUCUGGCAUUUUAACUGAAUCAUAGCAGGGACUGUCAAAUACCUUGGCUUUGUCAUUUGUUGUUUGGUUUUGUCACACUAGAGUAAUUAUUUAAAAAAGAUCACUCUUGAUGUUUGCUGUUUCUUGAGGUUGUCUGGUGAGACAGGGGUGAUGGUCACAAUGGCUCAGGACUAGGGUAUGAACUCCGUCUCUGGGAGAGUCAAAGAAUAGGGAUAGCCAAAUCAUCCCAGGGACCUCAGCCUCUAUAUGGAUUAUUUAUUCAUCCUGUUAAAGCCAUUUCCUGGAAUCAGUAGAGGAUCCCAAUGAAGACGGAGCCAAGAGGUGUCUGGCCAUGGCUAAGUCUGUCCAUACAGCAGAUGGGCAACAGAAGCAGCCAUCUCUUAGAGCUGGAAAUGAGUCAUUGCAUUCACUCCCUGCUGCGGCCAUCUUUCUGAACAUUCCCAGAAGCCAGGCUUGGGCCAUUUUCUGAUACAAGUGAUCCUAUGAGAUUCAAUUUCUGCAGUCUUUGUGGAUCCUAUGGAUGUUCAGAGCCAGAGUCAAUGGGAUACAAAGUCACCCUUGUUAGGUUUUUUUUUUUCAGUUUUGGCAAAUAAAUGGUAUACAUUCACAAAACAUUUAUGAAAACGCAACCCAGAUAACAAGAGGAUCUAAAAGUGGCUGUCAUACAUCCUCUCUUUUUAAUAGAAAACUGACUCUUGAAAACACUGAAAUUGUACCAUUUUCUAUACCCUCGUAAUAGGUCAGGUGCCAAAGCUUGAUGAACGAGAUAGAAUCACACAAUGGGAUCAAAGGGACAGCCAGCCCAGUUUAUUUCCAGAGAUCAAGCUUACCAGGACACAAAGAGAAAAACAGAACUUGGCUUGAAACCAAUUCUCCCCCCGAAGUACAAAUGCGAGGGCAGGAGUCCUGUCAGUGGCUGUCAUCAGCCUGUAGCCCUACCCUGCUCACCGAGACAGAGAUUAUUUGGUGGACUGGGGAAGUGUAAACCAUUCAUUGAAUUCUACACCCAAAUUA